CCUGCUGUUCUCUCAGCAGUAGCCUAGGGGAGCGGCCAUAAUUGGCAACGAUAAUGUUUAAAACCUUUCUAACAAUUUAGCCCAUUCCGAAAGGUGAAGCAAAACCCGUGAGGGGAAAAGCGAAUCCAGAAAUAGCCG
rfam:Chthonomonas calidirosea T49 complete genome